AUGGCACUCAGCAUGGAGUUCUCUUUAACUGUUUCUUAGCAUUAUGGCAACUGAGACAGUGUUGCCAACAUCUGUGAUAUUUGGUGUUUUUCAUAAAGCCUGAGCUCCUGGAGUCGUGAUUUCAUAAGAAUCUCUGUUUUAAUUUAAAUAAAUAAAAAUAAAGGCCCUCAUGGUUGUGGAAAAAAGCUUGAAAAUAUGACCAAGUGUACCCUAAAGACUCAGAAACUAGAAGGCAAAUAUAAAGAACCCCAAAUCUAUUUUUUAAAAAUAAACAGACUCAUGAUUUUUUAAUGCUCAGAGUUGGCAAGACUGCAGAGAUAGGAUAAUAUUUUUAGAAUUAUGAUCUAAAAGUAGCAUAGCAAAGACUAUUGAUUAGAGAAGAGGCUUCAGAAUCAGGAUUUUUAAAAUCUCUUCCCAGUUCUGAUAUUGUCUUGCCAUGUGAUUCUGUGCAACCUUUCUCAGCUUUAGUUUUACCAUCUCUAGAAAGGGGAUAAUCAUCCGUCAUUAUAGGAAUGAGCACAGAAUUUAAGAGCCAGGAAUGACUGAGUAUUAUUUCCUUCCCUAAUAUUACUCUCCCAUCUAAAUUAAAGGACUAACUGUUCCUAAUUGAACGGAAAGCAGGGGAGAAUAGACCCAUGCUGAUUAGUGUUCUGAACUAUUCCACACUAGCACUCUUCUAAAUAGUGUCAGUGUUCUCUGGGUACAUCUCCCAUAGUUCCUGGUGAGGCCCACAGAAACAAGAGAUUCUGAAAGAGCUGUAGUGCCCUGUGUGACAGUAGGCAGAAGACUAUGGGUACUAUUUUAGUGCCAUCCACACUAGCACUUACAUUGUGCAGACUAAACUGGUGUUUAGUUCUGCUGAAAGCAAGCUUAAUCAAUCCAGCUAUAUUUAGUAGGCAUGUAAACCAUUUGGAGCACUAGGUGGACAUUAACCAUGUUGCGGGGGGUGGUCUAGGCAUAGCACAGAAAUUUUCUCUGCUGUAGGCAAAGCUUUAGAGGUCCUGGGUCCCCAGAGUAUACCCCUCUUAUAAUGGCCUGGGAGGGAGAAAUAAUUCAUUCUACACAGCUGCCCUUCCUGAAAACUCCUGCACUCUGGGCUGAUUGAUGCUUCUCCGAGGCAGAAGGUUAACCCUUUCCUUGCCAACUGCUGGACAGAGCCUAGACACCUCAUGACUAGUGGCAGCUAUUUAGUUAAUAUUGGCAAAUCUCUUCAAAAUGCAAACUAUUAAGUAUAAAAUUUAAAUAUGUUGGAUACAUUCACAAACCAAAAGACCAGUAUGCCUUCAGCUCUGUCCUCUAGCGCCAAAUCACUGCUAGGACUCCUUGAGCCAAAUAUUACUCAGUCUGUCAAAGGUUCCAAAGAAAUUUCAUCUUAGGAGCCUCAUAUGCUCACCCAAAGAACUUCAGGCAGAUCCAAACUGCACCCUUCCCUCUUUAGAUGCUCUCUGUGGAUCCCUAGCAUUUUUAGGAUUUCAUUCCAGCUGCCUGUUAGCAUCACAACAGUUCUUUGAAGAUGUUAUUGCUCACUUCUGUGAAGGGAAUGUGGAAGCCUUUGAAAGUGAUAUAGCUUACACUUCACAGCACUAAGAUAAAAAACAGCUCAGUUGUUUACAUUAAUUGUAAGUUAUCUCAAUCUUGUUUUAAACAAAGCAAGGGUUCUCUGAUAGACCCUCCAGCAGCGCUGUAUCCAUUCCCAAGGUUUCUGGUCCCUUUGAAGAGUGUUGAGUCUGCAGCCAUGGUCCUAGGAAGACAAACCACCACUGAGGCUAGGUGGGCAACUCAGGACAUGUCACUCCAUGAGGAUAUUCAGCCAGGGCAGCAUCUUUCUGACUAGGUGACCACAAAAAAGAAAAAACUUCCAGGAUGUAGUUUGCUCAGAUGUGUUAAUGAUUACCUUUUUGAAACCCAUGACUUCAGUGGGUUGCUGCAGUGGAGGAUUCUUGGCCAUGUUAGAGGUUAAACAUUGAUCAUUCAGGAUAGCAUAAGGCGCAGUGCUUCUGCUUUUAAAAUGACUCUCUGCAGCCUCUCCUCCCAUCACCAAACCCCUGCACAAAAUCCACAGUCAUGGAUCACUUGCAGCUAAAUCACCCUAUUUUGUACUCAAGACUGCCUGGUCAUUAUAGGAAUAAUGGUGAGGAAAUUAUGGUUUGUUUUUUUAGCAAACAGAAUGCAUAUGCAGCUUAAUUUAACAGCAAAUUCACACUUAAUAGCAGCACAAUCCAGAAGCUCUAAGUAAGGGUUAAAUCCAAACAAUGUAUUGUUGGGAAGUUAAUUGCUCUUUGAUUUUUCACGUGAAAAGGGGGUGCUGCUGAAAUAUAAAAACAAUUGAGCUGGAAGUUUUGCUCCUGCCCAAAGGAAAAAAAGAGAACUUGCAAGACAGGGAAGUAGCUUGUUGCAGAGCUGUAUUAGGCAGUAUUCCACAUGCAUCCACCACUCUGCCUGCUGUUUUUUUUCUCCUGCUGACUUCUGUCUCCUGGAUGAUGGGGGCUGCUGCACGUCCAGUACAGGAAAGACACAUAUUGAAAGACAGCAAGUACUUUCAGGAACUGACAGAUGCAAAGAGAAGCACCUUGCUCACUUUCCCCUCUGCACUGGCUGUCUGGAUAUCCCAGAUGGAGGAGGAGGUACAGCUGGCCAACUGGCAAGAGAGAUCUGCCUUUCAUCAACCUGGAGCGUGGGAAAAGUCCCCCUUGCAGGAACUUCUUCUAGAAGACUUUCUCCUCCUGCUAACAAAAUAGCUUCUUGAAGAUCUAUUUUAGAGUGGCUUUAGCAACAGCUGCCUCAAUCAGGAUGAAUAUGAUCUGUGACAUGAACUGUCUCUUUGUAAUAAGUGUGAUUAGACUCUCCCCAUCCUCAUUCUCUAAUAAAAAUUGAAUAGAACUC